rnacentral:misc_RNA from 1 species
GAAAUGCGAUAAGUAAUGUGAAUCACAGAAUGCAGUGAAUCAUCGAAUCUUUGAACGCACAUAGCGCCCGCCAGCACUCUGGCCAGCAUGCCGGUUCCAGCGUCGUUUCAACCAUCAAGCCCCGGGCUUGUGUUGGGGACCUGCGGCUGCCCGCAGGCCCUGAAAAACAGUGGCGGGCUCGCUGUCACCCCGAGCGUAGUAGUAUUAUCUCGCUUAGGGCGUGCUGCGGGUUCCGGCCGUUAAACGCCCCCAUACCCCAAGGUUGACCUCGGAUCAGGUAGGAAUACCCGCAGAACUUAA